CUGUAACAACUUUUCUUUUCUGUCUGGCCUAUCUCACAUCGCUGGUAAUAGUUUUCGCAGCAGCAGCGGCGGCACGGUGUUGCAAGCCACCCACCCCUUUUGCACCAUUUCCGUGUUUUAUCCAGGAUCAUUUCCACACCGGCCGUGCCACGUCGAUUAAAUCGGUAGUUUGUGCAGAAUGCUAAUGUGACACGAUAGCGCCGUGACACCCAGCAACAUGUCUAAUGCGUGGAAAAUACGCUGCCAAAACACUGCGACAUUGUAGGAGAAGAGACACACAGCCAGUGAAUAAGUGGAGAGGGGUGCAUGACGUGUCCAAAUCAAUGAAUCCCAAACAGCUACGAAAAAAAAAAAAAAAAAAAAAUGCAAUGUGAACAUGAUGAUUUACCUAAUGCCACCUCGCAGGCUUUGCGCAACUGAGAGUGAUGAGCCUUUUUCACCUCCUUGUCGGCCAGGAUCUUUUCCAAAGCUCGGGCUGCAAAUCCCACACAUCUGGCGCCUGAGUGAGAUACAGCGAACAAUCAAAGGCUGCUGCAGAAACUAUCUGUCUCUGUUCUGAUGCUGAGACUGCAAAUCACUGUCCCCUGUCUGCUCUGGGCCAUCAUUCAGACUGCGGGGAGCACUUAAGACGCUGUGACCGCAUGUAUUCAUUUGCUACGGUGCACGGAACGCUUAAAAACUCAAACAAACCUUUUUCAGAUUAAUAAAUUUGGAGACUAAAACCUCAGUGCACGUACCUCUUUGACAAACCACUGGCAGAAAGCGGGUCCUAUCCACUCUCUCGCAUGGACGCCGCAGUCGAUCCACACAGCUUUUUUCUGGGGUCGACUUCUCUUUCCUAGCUGACAGGAGACAAGAACUGUCAGUAGGUUUUAGAGCAGUUUGGAUAUGGAUGCGUCUGUUUGUUUGUCUUUGUGUGUAGUUACAUGUGUUUGAUACAAGUCCCAUCCAGUAAUGAAAAUUGCCCCCACUCUUUUUCUGAGGAGGUGUCACAUUGCUCUGUCAAUACUGAACUAUAAAUAUGCUUUACUGUAACAGGACAGGAGCUUUUCAUGAGCAAACACAAAUCCCCCAUGUUUGUCUUGUUCUAGGCUGUGAAGUCGAGGUGAAAUGAAAAAUGCCUCUUUAACCCUUUUAUAUCACAUCCCUGGUCAUAU